rnacentral:rRNA from 1 species
UACGAAGGGGGCUAGCGUUGCUCGGAAUCACUGGGCGUAAAGGGUGCGUAGGCGGGUCUUUAAGUCAGGGGUGAAAUCCUGGAGCUCAACUCCAGAACUGCCUUUGAUACUGAGGAUCUUGAGUUCGGGAGAGGUGAGUGGAACUCCGAGUGUAGAGGUGAAAUUCGUAGAUAUUCGGAAGAACACCAGUGGCGAAGGCGGACUCACUGGACCGGUAUUGACGCUGAGGUGCGAAAGCGUGGGGAGCAAACAGG